rnacentral:rRNA from 1 species
AGGGAUAUUGGUCAAUGGGGGAAACCCUGAACCAGCAACGCCGCGUGAGGGAAGACGGUUUUCGGAUUGUAAACCUCUGUCCUCUGUGAAGAUAAUGACGGUAGCAGAGGAGGAAGCUCCGGCUAACUACGUGCCAGCAGCCGCGGUAAUACGUAGGGAGCAAGCGUUGUCCGGAUUUACUGGGUUUAAAGGGUGCGUAGGCUGUGAGGUAAGUCAGCGGUGAAAUGCCCCCGCUCAACGGGGUGAAGUGCCAUUGAUACUGCCUUGCUGGAAUGCGGAUGCCGUGGGAGGAAUGUGUGGUGUAGCGGUGAAAUGCAUAGAUAUCACACAGAACACCGAUUGCGAAGGCAUCUCACGAAUCCGCGAUUGACGCUGAUGCACGAAAGCGUGGGUAUCAAACAGG